UAGUCCACGCCGUAAACGAUGAAUGCUCGCUGCAGGGAGGUCUACCCUCUUUGUGGCCAAGCUAACGCGUUAAGCAUUCCGCCUGGGAAGUACGGCCGCAAGGCUAAAACUCAAAGGAAUUGACGGGGACCCGCACAAGCGGUGGAGCAUGUGGUUUAAUUCGAUGCAACGCGAAGAACCUUACCCAGGCUUGACAUCCUCGGAACCCUGAUGAAAGUUGGGGGUGCUACCGCAAGGUAGAACCGGGAGACAGGUGCUGCAUGGCUGUCGUCAGCUCGUGCCGUGAGGUGCUCGGUUAAGUCCGGCAACGAGCGCAACCCCUAUCGUUAGUUGCCGGCAUUUAGUUGGGGACUCUAGCGAGACUGCCGGUGACAAACCGGAGGAAGGUGGGGACGACGUCAAGUCCUCAUGGCCCUUAUGUCUGGGGCUACACACGUGCUACAAUGGUAACUACAAAGGGCAGCGAAACCGCGAGGUCAAGCAAAUCCCAAAAAAGUUAGCCUCAGUUCGGAUUGGAGUCUGCAACUCG
rnacentral:rRNA from 1 species